rnacentral:rRNA from 1 species
GAAUGCUGACAUAAGUAACGAUAAAGCGGGUGAAAAGCCCGCUCGCCGGAAGACCAAGGGUUCCUGUCCAACGUUAAUCGGGGCAGGGUGAGUCGACCCCUAAGGCGAGGCCGAAAGGCGUAGUCGAUGGGAAACGGGUUAAUAUUCCCGUACUUGGUGUUACUGCGAAGGGGGGACGGAGAAGGCUAUGUUGGCCGGGCGACGGUAGUCCCGGUUUAAGCGUGUAGGUGUGUGUUCCAGGCAAAUCCGGUUCACUUUAACACUGAGGCGUGAUGACGAGGCACCACGGUGCUGAAGCAACAAAUGCCCUGCUUCCAGGAAAAGCCUCUAAGCAUCAGGUAACAUCAAAUCGUACCCCAAACCGACACAGGUGGUCAGGUAGAGAAUACCAAGGCGCUUGAGAGAACUCGGGUGAAGGAACUAGGCAAAAUGGUGCCGUAACUUCGGGAGAAGGCACGCUGACACGUAGGUGAAGUGAUUUACUCAUGGAGCUGAAGUCAGUCGAAGAUACCAGCUGGCUGCAACUGUUUAUUAAAAACACAGCACUGUGCAAACACGAAAGUGGACGUAUACGGUGUGACGCCUGCCCGGUGCCGGAAGGUUAAUUGAUGGGGUCAGCGCAAGCGAAGCUCCUGAUCGAAGCCCCGGUAAACGGCGGCCGUAACUAUAACGGUCCUAAGGUAGCGAAAUUCCUUGUCGGGUAAGUUCCGACCUGCACGAAUGGCGUAAUGAUGGCCAGGCUGUCUCCACCCGAGACUCAGUGAAAUUGAACUCGCUGUGAAGAUGCAGUGUACCCGCGGCAAGACGGAAAGACCCCGUGAACCUUUACUAUAGCUUGACACUGAACAUUGAGCCUUGAUGUGUAGGAUAGGUGGGAGGCUUUGAAGCGUGGACGCCAGUCUGCGUGGAGCCGACCUUGAAAUACCACCCUUUAAUGUUUGAUGUUCUAACGUGGACCCGUAAUCCGGGUUGCGGACAGUGUCUGGUGGGUAGUUUGACUGGGGCGGUCUCCUCCUAAAGAGUAACGGAGGAGCACGAAGGUUGGCUAAUCCUGGUCGGACAUCAGGAGGUUAGUGCAAUGGCAUAAGCCAGCUUGACUGCGAGCGUGACGGCGCGAGCAGGUGCGAAAGCAGGUCAUAGUGAUCCGGUGGUUCUGAAUGGAAGGGCCAUCGCUCAACGGAUAAAAGGUACUCCGGGGAUAACAGGCUGAUACCGCCCAAGAGUUCAUAUCGACGGCGGUGUUUGGCACCUCGAUGUCGGCUCAUCACAUCCUGGGGCUGAAGUAGGUCCCAAGGGUAUGGCUGUUCGCCAUUUAAAGUGGUACGCGAGCUGGGUUUAGAACGUCGUGAGACAGUUCGGUCCCUAUCUGCCGUGGGCGCUGGAAGACUGAGGGGGGCUGCUCCUAGUACGAGAGGACCGGAGUGGACGCAUCACUGGUGUUCGGGUUGUCAUGCCAAUGGCACUGCCCGGUAGCUAAAUGCGGAAAAGAUAAGUGCUGAAAGCAUCUAAGCACGAAACUUGCCCCGAGAUGAGUCUUCCCUGAGACUUUGAGUCUCCUGAAGGAACGUUAAAGACGAUGACGUUGAUAGGCCGGGUGUGUAAGCGCAGCGAUGCGUUGAGCUAACCGGUACUAAUGAACCGUGAGGCUUAACCUUACAACGCCGAAGGUGUUU